rnacentral:rRNA from 1 species
ACGAUGAAGAGUUUGAUCCUGGCUCAGGAUGAACGCUAGCGGCAGGCCUAACACAUGCAAGUCGAGGGGUAACGGGGUAGCUUGCUACCGCCGACGACCGGCGCACGGGUGCGUAACGCGUA